rnacentral:rRNA from 1 species
GUUUCAGCCGCCGCGGUAAGACGGAAGGUGCAAGCGUUGCUCGGAAUCACUGGGCGUAAAGGGUGCGUAGGCGGCCGCGCAAGUCUGGCGUGAAAGCCCCGGGCUCAGCCCGGGAAGGGCGCUCGAAACGGCGCGGCUGGAGUGCCGGAGGGGAGAGUGGAAUUCCUGGUGUAGCGGUGAAAUGCGUAGAUAUCAGGAGGAAUACCGGUGGCGAAAGCGACUCUCUGGACGGCAACUGACGCUGAGGCACGAAAGCGUGGGGAGCAAACAGGAUUAGAAACCCUGGUAGUCC